GAUGAACGCUAGCGGCAGGCUUAAUACAUGCAAGUCGAGGGGUAGCAAGAUUGUAGCAAUACAAUUGUUGACGACCGGCAAACGGGUGCGGAACACGUACACAACCUUCCUACAAGUGGGGAAUAGCCCAGAGAAAUUUGGAUUAAUACCCCGUAACAUAGCGAUGUGGCAUCACAUUGCUAUUAUAGCUUCGGCGCUUGUUGAUGGGUGUGCGGCUGAUUAGAUAGUUGGCGGGGUAACGGCCCACCAAGUCUACGAUCAGUAGCUGAUGUGAGAGCAUGAUCAGCCACACGGGCACUGAGACACGGGCCCGACUCCUACGGGAGGCAGCAGUAAGGAAUAUUGGACAAUGGACGCAAGUCUGAUCCAGCCAUGCCGCGUGAAGGAUUAAGGUCCUCUGGAUUGUAAACUUCUUUUAUAAGGGACGAAAAAAGGUCUUUCUAGAUCGUCUGACGGUACCUUAUGAAUAAGUCACGGCUAACUACGUGCCAGCCGCCGCAGUAAUAC
rnacentral:rRNA from 1 species